rnacentral:rRNA from 1 species
UACGGUGUGUGCAAGCGUUACUCGGAAUCACUGGGCAUAAAGAGCACGUAGGCGGGCUCGCUAGUCAGAUGUGAAAUCCCCCAGCUCAACUGGGGAACUGCAUCUGAUACUGCGAGUCUUGAGGACGAAAGGGGAGAGUGGAACUUCUGGUGGAGCGGUGAAAUGCGUAGAUAUCAGAAGGAACACCGGUGGCGAAGGCGACUCUCUGGUUCGUUUCUGACGCUGAGGUGCGAAAGCGUGGGUAGCAAACGGG